GGGCAGAUGGCAGAGCGGUCAAAUGCACGAGACUGUAAAUCUCGCGUCCACUGGACUACGCAGGUUCGAAUCCUGCUCUGCCCA
rnacentral:tRNA from 1 species